rnacentral:rRNA from 1 species
AUUGAACGCUGGCGGCAGGCUUAACACAUGCAAGUCGAGCGGAGUGAUGGUGCUUGCACUAUCACUUAGCGGCGGACGGGUGAGUAAUGCUUAGGAAUCUGCCUAUUAGUGGGGGACAACAUCUCGGAAGGGAUGCUAAUACCGCAUACGUCCUACGGGAGAAAGCAGGGGAUCACUUGUGACCUUGCGCUAAUAGAUGAGCCUAAGUCGGAUUAGCUAGUUGGUGGGGUAAAGGCCUACCAAGGCGACGAUCUGUAGCGGGUCUGAGAGGAUGAUCCGGCACACUGGGACUGAGACACGGCCCAGACUCCUACGGGAGGCAGCAGUGGGGAAUAUUGGACAAUGGGGGGAACCCUGAUCCAGCCAUGCCGCGUGUGUGAAGAAGGCCUUAUGGUUGUAAAGCACUUUAAGCGAGGAGGAGGCUCUUUUGGUUAAUACCCAAGAUGAGUGGACGUUACUCGCAGAAUAAGCACCGGCUAACUCUGUGCCAGCAGCCGCGGUAA